UACGGGGGGAGCAAGCGUUGUUCGGAUUUACUGGGCGUAAAGGGCGCGUAGGCGGUCGUGACAAGUCACUUGUGAAAUCUCCGGGCUUAACUCGGAACGGUCAAGUGAUACUGUCGGACUAGAGUACAGAAGGGGCAACUGGAAUUCUCGGUGUAGCGGUGAAAUGCGUAGAUAUCGAGAGGAACACCUGCGGCGAAGGCGGGUUGCUGGGCUGAUACCGACGCUGAGGCGCGAAAGCCAGGGGAGCGAACGGG
rnacentral:rRNA from 1 species